CCUCCAUGAUGGUCACGGUGGAAUCCAUCCUGAUAACACAGAUGCUCCUCUCCAUGCUGACUUGGGCAACGAAAGCCACUGCCUCGCCACGGGAGUGAGAGGAACUGACCUGAACAUCGCCUUCCUGCUUGCUGUAGGGAAAGCCUCUGCUGCUGGCCCUGCUGGAGAAAGUCUACCGUCUACGUCAUUGUGCACCAGUACCCAAGACGGCCAGGCAGCUGGGAACACAAGCCACCACAGGAAGUCUGCACCCACGCGGUCAUUCUCCAAAAUGGCGCAUCGAGUCGGUUGUUCCCUGAAUCCCCUGCAAAGCCUUCUCUCUGUGAUGGCCACGGUGGAAUCUAACAUAAUGGCACAGCCGCUGGCGAGUGUUGGAGUCUGACUACUCUCUGGCCCUGAGCUCGAGACUUCAGAUGAAGCCAGACAACCGAAUAUCUCUCCUGCUCCUCCCCGCGGUGCUUGCCUUGCCUUGCCUUGCCGAGUGUACAAGGUUGUGCACAACUAUAGCGACGGAAUGGAUCACAUUAUACACUUGGGUGCCGAUGAACACUGCUAUUACCCGACAUACUGGCCCGUCUCGUUGCUCGCCCCUGACCACUGCAACCAACACUGCCUUCGAUAGAG